AACGAACGCUGGCGGCAUGCCUAAUACAUGCAAGUCGAGCGAACAGAUGAAGUGCUUGCACUUCUGACGUUAGUGGCGAACGGGUGAGUAACACGUAAGGAACCUACCUAUAAGCGGGGGAUAACAUUCGGAAACGGGUGCUAAUACCGCAUAAUAUCUUCUUCCGCAUGGAAGAAGAUUGAAAGACGGCUCUGCUGUCACUUAUAGAUGACCUUGCGGUGCAUUAGUUAGUUGGUGGGGUAAUGGCCUACCAAGACAAUGAUGCAUAGCCGACCUGAGAGGGUGAUCGGCCACAUUGGGACUGAGACACGGCCCAAACUCCUACGGGAGGCAGCAGUAGGGAAUCUUCCGCAAUGGGCGAAAGCCUGACGGAGCAAUGCCGCGUGAGUGAAGAAGGCCUUCGGGUCGUAAAACUCUGUUAUAAGAGAAGAACAAAUUGUAGAGUGACUGCUACAGUCUUGACGGUAUCUUAUCAGAAAGCCACGGCUAACUACGUGCCAGCAGCCGCAGUAA
rnacentral:rRNA from 1 species